GGAUCAUUAAUAAGAUAGACCUUUGGGUCCUUCAUCCUCAAACCUGUGGAAGUGAGAUGUGCUUCGGCGCCUCUGGGCGUCGGAUCUAUGCUGAUUAGCCUGUGUCUGAAGACAAACAAAAUUUAAAACUUUCAACAAAGGAUCUCUUGGCUCUCGUAUCGAUGAAGAACGCAGCAAAGCGCGAAAUGUAAUGUGAAUUGCAGAACAUUGUGAAUCAUCGAAUCUUUGAACGCACAUUGUGCCUCCCGUAAAUGGGAGGCAUGCCUGUCUGAGCGUCAUUUAAAACCAUAACCUUUCGGUUGUAUUGGGACUCGCCCUCGGGCGUCUCCUCAAAGUCAUCGUGUCUAAAAGCGUACGAGCUCCACUAGGACAGAACGUUUGAGGACCCUAAACUCUCUGACUUGACCUCAGAUCAGGUAGGACUACCGCCUGAACUUAAGCAUAUCAAUAAGGCGAGGAACAGAAACCAACAGGGAUUCCCCUAGUAGUGGCGAAUGAACCGGGAAAAGCUCAAGUUUGAAAUCUGAUAUCAAUCAGAGUUGUAAGCUGAAGAGGUAUCGACCGAUGAUGGUCCAGGCUCAAUGAUCCUUGGAAUAGGCAUGUCGUAGAGGGUGAAAAUCCCGUCUGUGGCUUGAGUGCCGUCAUCUUUGUGUCGUAUCCUCGAAGAGUCGGGUUGUUUGGGAAUGCAGCUCAAAAUGGGUGGUAAAUUUCAUCUAAGGCUAAAUAUUGGCGAGAGACCGAUAGCAAACAAGUAGAGUGAUCGAAAGAUGAUAAGUAUCUUGAAAAGGAAGUGAAACAGUACGUGAAAUUGUUGAAAGGGAAGCGUUUGGCAUCAGCCCAUGGCGUCCAUCGAUCAUGGGACUUCUGACCUGUGAAAUUGUUGGGCGUCGGGCCAGCGUCGGCUUUGCUUGCCGGAGAAAGGUCUUGGGAAUAUGACACCCUUCGGGGUGUGUUAUAACCCUUGGCGUCAUA
rnacentral:rRNA from 1 species